rnacentral:rRNA from 1 species
UACGUAGGGUCCGAGCGUUGUCCGGAAUUACUGGGCGUAAAGAGCUCGUAGGUGGUUUUGUCGCGUUGUUCGUGAAAACUCACAGCUUAACUGUGGGCGUGCGGGCGAUACGGGCAGACUUGAGUACUGCAGGGGAGACUGGAAUUCCUGGUGUAGCGGUGGAAUGCGCAGAUAUCAGGAGGAACACCGGUGGUCGAAGGCGGGUCUCUG